rnacentral:rRNA from 1 species
CCCCCGCGGGGGGGGGGGGGUGAUACCGUGAGAAUCUGGCUCUAGGUUCGGGACAACCACUGGAAACGGUGGCUAAUACCGGGUAUGCCGAGAGGUGAAAGGUUAACUGCCUGGAGAUGAGCUCGCGUCUGAUUAGCUAGUUGGUGGUGUAAGGGACUACCAAGGCGACGAUCAGUAGCUGGUCUGAGAGGAUGAUCAGCCACACUGGAACUGAGACACGGUCCAGACUCCUACGGGAGGCAGCAGUGGGGAAUUUUCCGCAAUGGGCGAAAGCCUGACGGAGCAAUACCGCGUGAGGGAGGAAGGCUCUUGGGUUGUAAACCUCUUUUCUCAGGGAAUAAGCAAGUGAAGGUACCUGAGGAAUCAGCAUCGGCUAACUCCGUGCCAGCAGCCGCGGUAAUACGGAGGAUGCAAGCGUUAUCCGGAAUGAUUGGGCGUAAAGCGUCCGUAGGUGGCUGUGUGUGUCUAUUGUUAAAGAGUUUGGCUCAACCAAAUAAGGGCGGUAGAAACUACACAGCUAGAGUGCGUUCGGGGCAGAGGGAAUUCCUGGUGUAGCGGUGAAAUGCGUAGAGAUCAGGGAAGAACACCGGUGGCGGAAAGCGCUUCUGCUUAGGCCGCAACUGACACUGAAGGGACGAGAAGCUAAGGGACCGAAUGGAUAGAGCUUUACCUAAAAAAUAAAAAA